UACGUAGGGCGCAAGCGUUGUUCGGAAUUACUGGGCGUAAAGGGCUCGUAGGCGGCCAACUAAGUCCGACGUGAAAUCCCCAGGCUUAACCUGGGAACUGCGUCGGAUACUGGAUGGCUUGAAUUCGGGAGAGGGAUGCAGAAUUCCAGGUGUAGCGGUGAAAUGCGUAGAUAUCUGGAGGAAUACCGGUGGCGAAGGCGGCAUCCUGGACCGACAUUGACGCUGAUGAGCGAAAGCUAGGGGAGCAAACGGG
rnacentral:rRNA from 1 species